GCCGUCUUAGCUAAGUUGGUUAAAGCGCUUGAUUGUGGAUCAAGGGUUCGCAAAAUCGAGAUUAACGGAUGCCGCCC
rnacentral:tRNA from 1 species